GGGAAUGUGGCUUAGUGGUAGAGUGCCUGCCUUGCAUGCAUGAAGCACUGGGUUUGAGUCCUCAGUGCCA
rnacentral:tRNA from 1 species